rnacentral:rRNA from 1 species
UGGGGAAUAUUGGACAAUGGGGGCAACCCUGAUCCAGCCAUGCCGCGUGCGUGAAGAAGGCCUUAGGGUUGUAAAGCGCUUUCAGCGGGGACGAUAAUGACAGUACCUAGUAAAGAAGCCCCGGCUAACUUCGUGCCAGCAGCCGCGGUAAUACGAAGGGGGCUAGCGUUGUUCGGAAUUACUGGGCGUAAAGCGCACGUAGGCGGACUUUUAAGUCAGAUGUGAAAUCCCGAGGCUCAACCUCGGAACUGCAUUUGAAACUGGGAGUCUAGAGAUCAGGAGAGGUUAGCGGAAUACCGAGUGUAGAGGUGAAAUUCGUAGAUAUUCGGUGGAACACCAGUGGCGAAGGCGGCUAACUGGACUGAUACUGACGCUGAGGUGCGAAAGUGUGGGGAGCAAACAGGAUUAGAUACCCGCGUAGUCC